GGACCAGCAGGGACUGGCAGUGGGAGGGCUGUGUUAGGAGGCAGACUCCUGUGUGGCCUUGGUGAGGUUGGGCUUGUUUGUGUUUCUCCUGGAUCAUGAAUUGCUGGCUGAGAUCCAUGUGUAGAAAGGCCUUGAGCACCCGUGUCCAUGCAUGAGUUAAUGUCUAUCCUUUGUGGCUUUCCCAGACAUCCUCCCCAAGUGAGUUGAAUGUACCCCUGUAGGACUGUCUGCUCACUUGAAAUGGACCCAAGCCAAGAGGCAGAUGAUUGUGGCUGAGUUUCAGCAGCUGCAGCAGUUUCUGGAAAAACAAAGCCCAGCUGGAGAAAUUAGAUGAGGAGAUUGGGAGGUUCCAGAUUGACACUGUCAGGAACCUCUCCAUGCAGAUUUCCCGUAUCAGCGAGGGGAUCAGGCAGCUGGAGGGGACAUGUCAGAAGCCAGCAAGUGAAUUCCUGUAGGACAUCAGAAGCGCCCUGAGUAGGUGUGAGAUGGGGCAAUUCCAGCUGCCAGAAGAGAUUUCUCCUGAACUAGAAGAACAAGUCAAAGGUUUCUCCCAGAAAACAAUUGCUCUGUCUGAGACUCUGAGGGAGUUCAAAGGUACCUGGAGGGGAUGGAGGAGGGAAAGUGGUUCAAGUAUCUGAGACUAUUGAAUCUGAGCUCUGAAGCCAACCUUCCCCUGCCUC